rnacentral:rRNA from 1 species
GACGAACGCUGGCGGCGUGCCUAAUACAUGCAAGUCGAACGAGAGCGACCGGUGCUUGCACUGGUCAAUCUAGUGGCGAACGGGUGAGUAACACGUGGGUAACCUGCCCAUCAGAGGGGGAUAACAUUCGGAAACGGAUGCUAAAACCGCAUAGGUCUUCGAACCGCAUGGUUUGAAGAGGAAAAGAGGCGCAAGCUUCUGCUGAUGGGUGGACCCGCGGUGCAUUAGCUAGUUGGUGAGGUAACGGCUCACCAAGGCCGUGAUGCAUAGCCGACCUGAGAGGGUGAUCGGCCACAUUGGGACUGAGACACGGCCCAAACUCCUACGGGAGGCAGCAGUAGGGAAUCUUCCGCAAUGGACGCAAGUCUGACGGAGCAACGCCGCGUGAGUGAAGAAGGUUUUCGGAUCGUAAAACUCUGUUGUUAGAGAAGAAUAAGUGCUAGAGUAACUGUUAGCGCCUUGACGGUAUCUAACCAGAAAGCCACGGCUAACUACGUG